UAGGAGGUAGCAAUAUUUUCUAGUUGGAGUGGCGCAAGGGUGCGUAACACGUGGGUAAUCUGCCGUGAAGUUUGGGAUAACUCGCUGAAAGGCGAGCUAAUACCGGAUGUGAAGGUGAGGAAGCAUUUUUUGACCUUCAAAGCUGGGGACCGUAACAGGCCUGGCGCUUCACGAUGAGCCCGCGGCCUAUCAGCUAGUUGGUAAGGUAACGGCUUACCAAGGCUAAGACGGGUAGCUGGUCUGAGAGGACGACCAGCCACACUGGAACUGAGACACGGUCCAGACACCUACGGGUGGCAGCAGUCGAGAAUUUUUCACAAUGGGCGCAAGCCUGAUGGAGCGACGCCGCGUGGGGGAUGAAGGGUUUCGAUCCGUAAACCCCUGUCAUUUGCGAACAAACCUUAACCGCUAACACCGGUUAGGCUGAUUGUAGUGAAAGAGGAAGGGACGGCUAACUCUGUGCCAGCAGCCGCGGUAAUACAGAGGUCCCAAGCGUUGUUCGGAUUCACUGGGCGUAAAGGGUGCGUAGGUGGCCAGGUAAGUUUGGUGUGAAAGCUCGGAGCUUAACUCCGAAAAGUCAUUGAAUACUAUCUGGCUGGAGGGUCGGAGGGGAGACUGGAAUUCACGGUGUAGCA
rnacentral:rRNA from 1 species